UUUUGAUGAUGAUACAAUAAAAUAAAAAGGGUAAUUUACGUCUGAAAAUUAUUGAUGACUAAAAAGUAUCUGAAAAAA